rnacentral:misc_RNA from 1 species
GAUGAAGAACGUAGCAAAAUGCGAUAAGUAGUGUGAAUUGCAGAAUUCAGUGAAUCAUCGAAUCUUUGAACGCACAUUGCGCCCCUUGGUAUUCCAUGGGGCAUGCCUGUUCGAGCGUCAUUGACACCCUCAAGCUCAGCUUGGUGUUGGGGCCUGCUGCACUGGCAGCCCUUAAAAUCAGUGGCGGCGCCAUCUGGCUCUAAGCGUAGUAAUUCUUCUCGCUAUGGAGUCCUGGUGGAUGCUUGCCAUCAACCCCCAAUUUUUCUAUGGUUGACCUCGGAUCAGGUAGGGAUACCCGCUGAACUUAAGCAUAUCAAUAAGCGGAGGA